GGCCAAAUGGUCUAGUAGUAUGAUUCGCCCUUCGGGUUCUCCCGCCUCCGAGGCGUACUUGGGCGAGGUCCCGGGUUCAAUUCCCGGUUUGGCCC
rnacentral:tRNA from 1 species